UGUCAAUUGCUCAACAAAAACAGAAGCAACUUCAACUUCUUCUGACAAAUCUAUAUUAUCUUCAUCAUGACUGAACUAUAAGCCACACAAUUACUAUGCACACAUUUGUAUUGUAACAAAUGCAUAUCAGACGCAAUUUUGAUGAAUUCCUAAGAUGUGUGACACCGAAAUCAAUCAGUUUAAACAAUAACAAGAUACCUAUCUGAGAAGGACAAAGUUAUUUAAACUCUGAAAGGCGAUACAGAUUCCACAUACAUAUAACCUACCUGUAACCUGUUCAAUUGUGUGUUUAUGUGUGUGUAUAGAAAGAAUGAUGAUUACAUAUUAUACAGGAAGGUAAAACCUCAAUGUGGCGGUAAAUCGAUUUUAAUUGGAUCUCGAUGGUCAAUCGGAAAUUUCAAAAUUACAUUGUUCAGAAGUUUUUGUCUAAUGUUACGUAUCUGUGUUAACCCAUCAACAAUAGAGAUUCACUUUGGGUAUUGUGAAAAGUGUGAAUAAAACCGACAACGUGGACUAUAUACCUAUAGAAUAUUAUAGGAAUCAAUUUAUUUUGAAUUUUAACCAAACUCACUCACACAUUUUAUAAAGCACUCGGCUUCAGGGAUGCUAGAAAUUCACAUA